rnacentral:rRNA from 1 species
AUUGAACGCUGGCGGCAGGCCUAACACAUGCAAGUCGAACGGUAACAGGAAACAGCUUGCUGUUUCGCUGACGAGUGGCGGACGGGUGAGUAAUGUCUGGGAAACUGCCUGAUGGAGGGGGAUAACUACUGGAAACGGUAGCUAAUACCGCAUAACGUCGCAAGACCAAAGAGGGGGACCCUCGGGCCUCUUGCCAUCGGAUGUGCCCAGAUGGGAUUAGCUUGUUGGUGGGGUAACGGCUCACCAAGGCGACGAUCCCUAGCUGGUCUGAGAGGAUGACCAGCCACACUGGAACUGAGCCACGGUCCAGACUCCUACGGGAGGCAGCAGUGGGGAAUAUUGCACAAUGGGCGCAAGCCUGAUGCAGCCAUGCCGCGUGUAUGAAGAAGGCCUUCGGGUUGUAAAGUACUUUCAGCGGGGAGGAAGGGAGUAAAGUUAAUACCUUUGCUCAUUGACGUUACCCGCAGAAGAAGCACCGGCUAACUCCGUG